CUCUUAAAAAAAAAAAGAAAGAAAGAGAAAAGUUUCUGGAGCUGAAGUAUUCUUUGAUAUUAUUUAUAACACUGGUCAUUUCUCAACUGUCCAACUGGACACCAGUCGAAUUUUCUCCCUGAAAUACAGAGAAGAUUCUUUAUCUAUAUUGAUUCUUUAUCUAUAUUGAAUCGGCCCUUCCUUAUCUUUUGUAAUUUUACCAUUAACAAAGCCCUAUUUAAGACCUUGAAAAUCAGCAGUAGUUUUGGUAGUUACUAUCAGAGGAAUAUGUGACCUUCCUUCCAAUAAAAAUUGAAAGUAGAGGUGGGGCAGAACUAAGCAGAAGUUGCUCACCUCCUUCAAAGUAGCUGCUCUAGGGGACCAUGGGCUUAGUUCCUUUAUGCUGUUGCCUCUUUGGACACUGGCAGCUCUUUUUUAAAGAUUCAAAUUAGUAGUGAACCUUCAACCUUUGCCUGCUUGAUUUUGUCUCCUCUCUGCCUCGUGGUCACUUCCUCGUUCUAGCCUCCUGUUGGCUACAGACUGUUUCCCAGUCUAGCAUUGCGGUUUCCUUGCUUCUCCAGGCUCUGAAGGUUGCAGAGCCAGCCCCAUGGGACUCAAAGCUGUGUUACUUUGAGCUAGUUAUUUAACCUCUCUGUUCCUCAGCUUCCUCACCUACAAAAGGGAGAUAAUAAGAGAACCCCUCCCUUUGAGGCCUGUUGUAAAGAACUUUGGAUGAUACUUCAAACAUGCUUCCAGAAUGGGGCUUCAUUAUGGGAAGUCCAGAGGGCUUCAGGAUUUACUCUGUCCAGUGGCUCUAGUUCUGCUGCCCUGUGGGUUCUUUUUGUGAGUUUCAUCUUCAGGUUGGUGGCAAGAAGAUGCUGCAUCUGGUCCCAGGCCUCAGAGCUGAGCUGGACAAUAUCCAAAGAAGAAAGAGAAGUCUUUUCUAGAAGCUUUUUGAGAAGACUGAAAAUUUCCCAGGUAACCCAGCCUCUGAGGAUUGGCAGCAAAAAUGAUCCAAGAAAGCACACCUUAAAGUAGGAUUUUUAGACAUUGAUAUCCCACACGUGGGACUAUAUGACAAGGAAGACACCAGUGCUGUUGUUUAAAAACUGCAGUAGGAUACACUGAAACAAUGUUUUCUCUGCUACAUAAAGGAAUCUGGAUUUUUGGCUUGAGCAGUUAAGUGGAUGGUGGUGCUGUUUACUAAGAAUUCAAGCUCAUCUCAAAGAUUUAAGAAGUAGAUCGAAUGUUGUAUUGUUCCUGUAUCUUCUACUUAGACUUCAUGAGCCAGAAUAAUUCAAUCUAAGGAAAGAACUCCAAUAGCAGGUCUUUAAGGCACAGAUACAGACUCUAGAGAGAGCCUUGGGGUAAGAAGGUCUUACGGCAGAACAGUUCAAAUCAUUGGACCUUGAAGGCAAACAGAGUCCUUGAUGAGAGACAACAAGCCAUUCUGAGUGGCAGAAAUUCACACGGCGCCUCUCACCUAAAAAUGAAUCUUUAACCAGCUGUGGGAAGCUUGCUUAUCACAAAGCUAACAAACCUUAACAGGGAUGGGCAAACAGGUUGACAGCAGUGGAAACCAGUACCCAAGGCACCGUUCGAAGAAGAAAGCCUGAACUGUGAUGCCUGGACAUUAACACCUAAUAGAAUAUUCAUUAAAAAAAAAAAAGGAAAGACA